UUAACCCUCUUGCUGCCGGAGGGACACAUAUGUCCAAACCGGCAGUGCCGGAGGGACACAUAUAUGUCCAUGGAUAAAUUUAUGCAAGCUUCUUAUCAAUGCUGUAUCUCUUUCAAUUAAAAUACGGAAGAAUAAACAGGGUUAUGUUUUUCUCCAAUUGGUCCCAAAUGUAGUGGUCAUUUUGUCGUGACGUCAUAUAUCGAAUGACGUCGUUGUUUGGCAUGUUACGUCACAGACGUUGAGCUGUCGUAUUUUCCGGCAUAUGAAAUGCAACCUUGAAAAACGGUCGGCAGCAAGAGGGUUAAGCGUG
rnacentral:lncRNA from 1 species